UACGUAGGGGGCAAGCGUUGUCCGGAAUCAUUGGGCGUAAAGAGCGUGUAGGCGGCCUGGUAAGUCCGCUGUGAAAGUCCAGGGCUCAACCCUGGAAUGCCGGUGGAAACUGCCAGGCUCGAGUCCGGAAGAGGCGAGUGGAAUUCCUGGUGUAGCGGUGAAAUGCGCAGAUAUCAGGAGGAACACCAAUGGCGAAGGCAGCUCGCUGGGACGGUACUGACGCUGAGACGCGAAAGCGUGGGGAGCAAACAGG
rnacentral:rRNA from 1 species